AGUACCCUAUGCUCCCAGUAUUCCAUGCUAUCCUUUACAUAACCAGAGGUAUAAAUGAGAAAGGAAGGGAAGCCUUCGCUCUCUUCUCUUCUGGUGAGGUUCAGGAACUGUAAGUCACCGCAUUGGUCUCACUUACCUGGAAGCUGAGGCCUGCAGCGACUGCUGUUGCCUGCCAUGUGGGAGGUGGAGAGAUUUGACUGUGUCUGGCGACCCUGCUUUCCUUGAGGGAAGUGAGAUUUUCUCCCAGGCCUAUCAGUAAAAUGUGAGGCACACCUUUGGAACAGAAGAGGUUAUAAACAGUGUGACUGCACUGGCAUAGCGAUCCUGUUUGAGAAAAGAGUAAAGAAGAGCUGCAGAGAACAAACCACUGUGAGACACUUAGGAGUUCUUUCCAUGCCUCUGAUUUUAAACAAUACAUUGCAAAAAUUUUGAAAUAAAAAAAUUU